UUAAGGGCACCUGUUCGUAUACUGAGUGUAUCCUGAGUUUUUAUUUUCCGGUAUACCUUCAGUAUACGUAGCAGGGAACCGUAA
rnacentral:pre_miRNA from 1 species